rnacentral:rRNA from 1 species
CUACGUGCCAGCAGCCGCGGUAAUACGUAGGUCCCGAGCGUUAUCCGGAUUUAUUGGGCGUAAAGCGAGCGCAGGCGGUUAGAUAAGUCUGAAGUUAAAGGCUGUGGCUUAACCAUAGUACGCUUUGGAAACUGUUUAACUUGAGUGCAAGAGGGGAGAGUGGAAUUCCAUGUGUAGCGGUGAAAUGCGUAGAUAUAUGGAGGAACACCGGUGGCGAAAGCGGCUCUCUGGCUUGUAACUGACGCUGAGGCUCGAAAGCGUGGGGAGCAAACAGGAUUAGAUACCCUGGUAGUCCACGCCGUAAACGAUGAGUGCUAGGUGUUAGACCCUUUCCGGGGUUUAGUGCCGUAGCUAACGCAUUAAGCACUCCGCCUGGGGAGUACGACCGCAAGGUUGAAACUCAAAGGAAUUGACGGGGGCCCGCACAAGCGGAGGAACAUGUGGUUUAAUUCGACGCAACGCGAAGAACCUUACCAGGUCUUGACAUUGAKGACAGAACUAGAGAUAG